rnacentral:rRNA from 1 species
CGCGUAGGCGGGAAUGCAAGUCAGAUGUGAAAUCCAAGGGCUCAACCCCUGAACUGCAUUUGAAACUGUAUUUCUUGAGUGUCGGAGAGGUUGACGGAAUUCCUAGUGUAGCGGUGAAAUGCGUAGAUAUUAGGAGGAACACCAGUGGCGAAGGCGGUCAACUGGACGAUAACUGACGCUGAGGCGCGAAAGCGUGGGAGCAAACA